rnacentral:tRNA from 1 species
GCUGGUAUAGUAUAGUGGUCAGUAUCCCCGCCUGUCACGCGGGAGACCGGGUUUAAUUCCCCG